GAGAAAUCCAGAGUCCAACAAGACACCAUGCCAACACACUACCUACAAGUUUUCAAGGACCAUUUCAAAGCAUUUCAACCACAUCAACAGAUAAAAGAUGCAAACCCAUGCCAAAGAGACACAAAAACGAGUAAAAUGGAUCUAAAAUCCCUGAUCAUAGAGAUAAUCACCGAGCCUCUCCACAACCAUGUUGCACUGACCAGGAGUCAUUGGCUCGUCGUACAUGCCGACGAUCAAAGCCAUGUUGGUUUUCUUUAUGGUCACACCUCCAGAGCCCUUCUUCCCACGAAUAACAG
rnacentral:misc_RNA from 1 species